rfam:Gasterosteus aculeatus cont1.008695, whole genome shotgun sequence.
ACAAAGGCUCUUUUAAGAGCCAGCCACAUGUCUGUAGAGAGCUUU